CUUGAAUUCCUUACACAACAAAUCAUAAUCUUUCCCCAGGUUCAUGGAUGGAUGAAUGUAUUUGGAGCACUCGGAUGAAGGUCUUGGGUUCUAAGAGGUCAAUUAAGCAAAUGCAUAUUUCCAAGACCAGAGGAAUCAGGAAGAGGAUCUAUUGUCUGUCUGUGAGGAAGACCGAAGACCUAAUGUCUAAGAAAGGAAAGACCGA
rnacentral:lncRNA from 1 species